rnacentral:lncRNA from 1 species
AGGUCACAUGGCUUACUUUCUUAAGGCUAAUUAAUUUCAGUAAUUAUAGCCUUAUACCAGCUGCAGGAUGCAUUGGUGACCAAGUGAAAUCAGCUGUGGACAAUUCUUUUCCAUUCUAUAGUGGACACUGGCUUUUUCUGUCUAUGACCAGAAGGUAAUAUCACCAGGUCAGUAAAAGGUACAUCCGGGAGAAAACUACUCAUGUUUUGAAGGGUAAUUUUCAGUAGAAACAGGAAGCUAAUCCAGUCCACCAGGGAGUCCCGUAACCCCCUCUUGUGUCAAAGGGAAACUCUCAUAGGAAACGAACAGCAAGGGUGAAAUGGAAGAGUAACCACUCUUUGAUGAAAAAGUAAUUCUAAUCCAGCUAAACUCAAUAAUGAAAGUGGAGCUCUGGAUUUGUGUUUAUCCAUUUCUUCUUUAACU